rnacentral:tRNA from 1 species
GGUAAAAAANAGACUUAAACUUCCCUCAGCAGAUUUACAGCCUGCCGCCUGUUCCCUCGGCCACUUUACC